GGGAAAGUACCAUUUGGAUCACUCUUUGUUGUUCAUAUACAUAGAGCAGAACAGUCCGAACAUAAAACAUCCUCAUCGAAUCACGCUCAGAGCUCAGGAAACGAUCUUGUACUGCUUGGGUGCACACCAGAGGAAACUCGGGACUUGUAGAGUUGUUACUUCUAAACAUCUGUCUUCCUGCGCUCCCCGGGCUCAGACAGCUCUGAACGCAGCCAUCGGACGGACCAUGCCACAGAGGAGCCUGCAUCCCCUGGUCUACAUCCUCCUGAUUUGGAUCAGCAUUCUCACCAUACUCCUGCCCGUGUUCAUCACCCUUAGCCUUUCAUUGAGACAGUCUUCGAACAAUUGCACUCUAGGGUGCCCAGCCCCAUUAAACUAUCCAGCGUGCUCCAGUGAAUUACUCAACCUUCAAGCUAAAG